rnacentral:misc_RNA from 1 species
UUAAACUUUCUAUUUUAGCAAUAGAGGAAAAGUGAAUAAAGGAGCACUGAACAAAAUUCAGUUAUAUAGGCCCUCCUGUGUAUUGAAUGGUGUUGUCAUUCUAUAUUCUUUGGAGUUGUCUUGAAAGUGAGCUGAUUAGUUAGUUACAUACCUCUGUUCAAACCAAAGGUUUCUAGUUUACUGGAAGCAUUUUAAAUUUGUGGG